AUUGAACGCUGGCGGUAGGCUUAACACAUGCAAGUCGUGCGAGAAAGUAUCUUCGGAUAUGAGUAGAGCGGCGGACGGGUGAGUAACGCGUAGGAAUCUACCUAGUAGAAGGGGAUAGCCCGGGGAAACCCGGAUUAAUACCGUAUACCUCCUUCGGGAGAAAGAAGGCCUCUCUUUGAAGCUUUCGCUAUUAGAUGAGCCUGCGUAAGAUUAGCUUGUUGGUGAGGUAAAGGCUCACCAAGGCGACGAUCUUUAGCUGGUCUGAGAGGACGAUCAGCCACAUUGGGACUGAGACACGGCCCAGACUCCUACGGGAGGCAGCAGUGGGGAAUAUUGGACAAUGGGCGCAAGCCUGAUCCAGCCAUACCGCGUGUGUGAAGAAGGCCUUCGGGUUGUAAAGCACUUUAAGCAGGGAGAAAAAGUUAUAAGUUAAUACCUUAUAACCCUGAUGUUACCUGCAGAAUAAGCACCGGCUAAUUCCGUGCCAGCAGCCGCGGUAAUACGGAAGGUGCAAGCGUUAAUCGGAAUUACUGGGCGUAAAGCGCGCGUAGGUGGUUUGUUAAGUUGGAUGUGAAAGCCCUGGGCUCAACCUAGGAACUGCAUCCAAAACUAACUCACUAGAGUACGAUAGAGGGAGGUAGAAUUCAUAGUGUAGCGGUGGAAUGCGUAGAUAUUAUGAAGAAUACCAGUGGCGAAGGCGGCCUCCUGGAUCUGUACUGACACUGAGGUGCGAAAGCGUGGGUAGCGAACAGGAUUAGAUACCCUGGUAGUCCACGCCGUAAACGAUGACAACUAGCUGUUGGGAGACUAUGUCUUUCAGUGGCGCAGCUAACGCUUUAAGUUGUCCGCCUGGGGAGUACGGCCGCAAGGCUAAAACUCAAAUGAAUUGACGGGGACCCGCACAAGCGGUGGAGCAUGUGGUUUAAUUCGAUGCAACGCGAAAAACCUUACCUACUCUUGACAUACUUGGAGGCUCUUGUAAUGAGAGUGUGCCUUUUGGAACCAAGAUACAGGUGCUGCAUGGCUGUCGUCAGCUCGUGUCGUGAGAUGUUCCGUUAAGUCGGAUAACGAGCGCAACCCUUACCCUUAUUUGCCAGCGAUUCGGUCGGGAACUAUAAGGGGACUGCCGGUGAUAAACCGGAGGAAGGUGAGGACGACGUCAAGUCAUCAUGGCCUCUUACGAGUAGGGCUACACACGUGCUACAAUGGGAGAUACAGACGGACGCUAAGCCGCGAGGUGGUGCUAAUCCUAAAAAGUCUUUCGUAGUCCGGAUUGGAGUCUGCAACUCGACUCCAUGAAGUCGGAAUCGCUAGUAAUCGCGGAUCAGCAUGCCGCGGUGAAUACGUUCUCGGGUCU
rnacentral:rRNA from 1 species